AAUCAACGCUGGCGGCGUGCCUCAGACAUGCAAGUCGAACGAUUAAGACUUCCUUCGGGAAGUGCAUAAAGUGGCGCACGGGUGAGUAACACGUAAGUAAUCUACCCUCGAGUGGGGAAUAACGUUCGGAAACGGACGCUAAUACCGCAUAAUGCAGCGGCAUCGCAAGAUGACAGUUGUUAAGGGAGUAAUUCGCUUGAGGAGGAGCUUGCGGCAGAUUAGCUAGUUGGUAAAGUAACGGCUUACCAAGGCUACGAUCUGUAUCCGGUCUAAGAGGACGGUCGGACACACUGACACUGAAUAACGGGUCAGACUCCUACGGGAGGCAGCAGUCGGGAAUUUUGGGCAAUGGGCGAAAGCCUGACCCAGCAACGCCGCGUGAAGGAUGAAGUAUUUCGGUAUGUAAACUUCGAAAGAAUGGGAAGAAUAAAUGACGGUACCAUUUAUAAGCUCCGGCUAACUACGUGCCAGCAGCCGCGGUAAUAC
rnacentral:rRNA from 1 species